rnacentral:rRNA from 1 species
ACGUAGGGUGCGAGCGUUAAUCGGAAUUACUGGGCGUAAAGCGUGCGCAGGCGGCUAUGCAAGACAGGUGUGAAAUCCCCGGGCUUAACCUGGGAACUGCACUUGUGACUGCAUGGCUAGAGUGCGUCAGAGGGAGGUGGAAUUCCGCGUGUAGCAGUGAAAUGCGUAGAGAUCCGGAGGAACACCAGAGGCGAAGGCGACACCCUGGGCCGUACCUGACGCUAAGACGCGACAGCACGGGGAGCGAACGG